rnacentral:rRNA from 1 species
GAUGAACUCUGGCGGCGUGCCUAAUACAUGCAAGUCGAACGAAACUUCUUUAUCACCGAGUGCUUGCACUCACCGAUAAAGAGUUGAGUGGCGAACGGGUGAGUAACACGUGGGCAACCUGCCCAAAAGAGGGGGAUAACACUUGGAAACAGGUGCUAAUACCGCAUAACCAUAGUUACCGCAUGGUAACUAUGUAAAAGGUGGCUAUACUACCGCUUUUGGAUGGGCCCGCGGCGCAUUAGCUAGUUGGUAGGGUAAAGGCUUACCAAGGCAAUGAUGCGUAGCCGAAUUGAGAGGUUGAUCGGCCACAUUGGGACUGAGACACGGCCCAAACUCCUACGGGAGGCAGCAGUAGGGAAUCUUCCACAAUGGGCGAAAGCCUGAUGGAGCAACGCCGCGUGGGUGAAGAAGGUCUUCGGAUCGUAAAACCCUGUUGUUAGAGAAGAAAGUGCGUGAGAGUAACUGUUCACGUUUCGACGGUAUCUAACCAGAAAGCCACUGCUAACUACGUG